AUGUUCAAUGGUGAGAAUGAGAGUUCUACUAUUGAACUGGACGACUCCUUUGAUGAGACCAGCAUGCGUUUUGUGCGGCGAAUCCAGGAGUCUGAGGUCAAGGAGGCUUUAAAAAGGAUGAAAGGAGGCAAGGCGAUGGGCCCUGAUUGUAUCCCCAUUGAGGUGUGGAAAGGUCUCGGGGACAUAGCGAUAGUAUGGCUAACCAAGCUUUUCAACCUCAUUUUUCGGGCAAACAAGAUGCCAGAAGAAUGGAGACGGAGUAUAUUAGUACCAAUCUUCAAGAACAAGGGGGAUGUUCAGAGUUGUACUAAUUACCGUGGAAUUAAGCUGAUGAGCCAUACAAUGAAGCUAUGGGAGAGAGUCAUUGAACACCGCUUAAGAAGAAUGACAAGCGUGACCAAAAAUCAGUUUGGUUUCAUGCCUGGGAGGUCGACCAUGGAAGCCAUUUUCUUGGUACGACAACUUAUGGAGAGAUAUAGGGAGCAAAAGAAGGACUUGCAUAUGGUGUUCAUUGACUUGGAGAAGGCCUAUGAUAAGAUACCGCGGAAUGUCAUGUGGUGGGCCUUGGAGAAACACAAAGUCCCAGCAAAGUACAUUACCCUUAUCAAGGACAUGUACGAUAAUGUUGUGACAAGUGUUCGAACAAGUGAUGUCGACACUGAUGACUUCCCGAUUAAGAUAGGACUACAUCAGGGGUCAGCUUUGAGCCCUUAUCUUUUGCAUUGGUGA
rnacentral:rRNA from 1 species